AGGAUGAACGCUGGCGGCGUGCCUAAUACAUGCAAGUCGAGCGCCUUCACUUUGCUCAUCAGCCUUUGUUGGUGAGUGGUGUGAAGGAGCGGCGGACGGCAGAGUAACGCGUAGGAACGUACCCCAAAGUGAGGGAUAAGCACCGGAAACGGUGUCUAAUACCGCAUAAUAUCUUCGGAUUAAAGCUUCGGCGCUUUGGGAGCGGCCUGCGUAUGAUUAGCUUGUUGGUAGGGUAAUGGCCUACCAAGGCGACGAUCAUUAGCUGGUCUGAGAGGAUGACCAGCCUGACUGGGACUGAGACACGGCCCAGACUCCUACGGGAGGCAGCAGUAGGGAAUUUUCCGCAAUGGGCGCAAGCCUGACGGAGCAACGCCGCGUGCAGGAGGAAGGCCUUCGGGUUGUAAACUGUCUUUUAUUUGUGAUGAUUUGACAGUAACAAAUGAAUAAGGACCUGCUAACUACGCGCCAGCAGCCGCGGU
rnacentral:rRNA from 1 species